rnacentral:tRNA from 1 species
GCACGUAGUAGCUCAGAAGUAAGAGCGCCGGACUUGUAAUUCGGAGGUCAGGGGUUUAAAUCCCCUCUAGUGCU